GUGGACAUGUCAGUGCUAGGGGGCAGUCCUUAGAAAGCAUGGCGGAAGUGCAUCAUUAGAUGCAUUUAUGCUAAGCUCAGGAUGCUGUUGGCCAGCAUUCAUAAUUGGCAGGCAGCCGGACAUGCAUUCAUGCCGGGCUAGCCUUCCAAUUCUUUGGGCAGACACGCCUCCUUUUUGGGUAUGUUCGUCCCUUUCGGGAAUUAUGGUUACAUGAUCCGCGUCAGUGGCCCACCC